rnacentral:rRNA from 1 species
GUAAGGAAUAUUGGACAAUGGACGCAAGUCUGAUCCAGCCAUGCCGCGUGAAGGAUUAAGGUCCUCUGGAUUGUAAACUUCUUUUAUAAGGGACGAAAAAAGGCUUUUCUAAGUCGUCUGACGGUACCUUAUGAAUAAGCACCGGCUAACUCCGUGCCAGCAGCCGCGGUAAUACGGAGGGUGCAAGCGUUAUCCGGAUUCACUGGGUUUAAAGGGUGCGUAGGUGGGCAGGUAAGUCAGUGGUGAAAUCCUAGAGCUUAACUCUAGAACUGCCAUUGAUACUAUCUGUCUUGAAUAUUGUGGAGGUAAGCGGAAUAUGUCAUGUAGCGGUGAAAUGCUUAGAUAUGACAUAGAACACCUAUUGCGAAGGCAGCUUACUACGCAUAUAUUGACGCUGAGGCACGAAAGCGUGGGGAUCAAACAGGAUUAGAAACCCUGGUAGUCC